UACAGAGGUCUCAACCGUUGUUCGGAUUCAUUGGGCGUAAAGGGUGCGUAGGCGGCGAGGCAAGUCAGGUGUGAAAUCUCGGGGCUCAACCCCGAAACUGCACUUGAUACUGCCUUGCUCGAGUACUGGAGAGGAGACUGGAAUUUACGGUGUAGCAGUGAAAUGCGUAGAUAUCGUAAGGAAGACCAGUGGCGAAGGCGAGUCUCUGGACAGUUACUGACGCUGAGGCACGAAGGCCAGGGGAGCAAACGGG
rnacentral:rRNA from 1 species